rnacentral:rRNA from 1 species
UCCGCCAUGGCCUCCUGACCUGUCUGCUCCGCCACUGAAGCUAAGCAAGGUUGAGCCUGCUCAGUACCUGGAUGGGAGACCUUCUGGGAAAACUAGGUUGCUGCUGGAA